UACAGAGGGGGCAAGCGUUAUUCGGAAUUAUUGGGCGUAAAGGGCGCGUAGGCGGCCUGGCAAGUGGAAGGUGAAAUCCCUCGGCUUAACCGAGGAACUGCCCUCCAAACUGCUUGGCUUGAGUCCGGGAGAGGUGAGUGGAAUUCCCAGUGUAGCGGUGAAAUGCGUAGAGAUCGGGAGGAACACCAGUGGCGAAGGCGGCUACCUGGACCAGCA
rnacentral:rRNA from 1 species